rnacentral:rRNA from 1 species
AACAGUCAAGCCUUGUCAACACUACGGUAAAUAGCCGCGGUAUUAUGACCGAGCAAAGGUAGCAUAAUCAUUUGUCUUUUAAUUGAGGACUAGAAUGAAAGGUUAGACUAUGUAAUUUGGUCUUAUAAUAAUAUUUGGAAAUUUAUAUUUUAGUAAAAAAGCUAAAAUAAGUUUAAAGACGAAGAAGACCCUAUCAAGUUUUACAAUAAUUAUCUUAUUUUCAAAUUAAGAAGUUUAUUGUUUGGCUGGGGCAGCAAAUAAAUAUUUUUUAUUUUAAUAUUAUGGAAUAUGGCCCUUGAAAAAUCAAAAAAUUUUUUAAGAAGAAGAAGAAACUGUUGGGAGGACAGCAUAAUUUUUUUAGAGAGGACUUCUCACCCCCCAAGAUUGUGUACCCCGAUGGUGCGGGAAGA